UACGAAGGGGGCUAGCGUUGUUCGGAAUCACUGGGCGUAAAGCGCACGUAGGCGGAUUCUUAAGUCAGGGGUGAAAUCCCGAGGCUCAACCUCGGAACCGCCUUUGAUACUGGGGAUCUCGAGUCCGGGAGAGGUGAGUGGAAUUGCGAGUGUAGAGGUGAAAUUCGUAGAUAUUCGCAAGAACACCAGUGGCGAAGGCGGCUCACUGGCCCGGAACUGACGCUGAGACGCGAAAGCGUGGGGAGCAAACAGG
rnacentral:rRNA from 1 species